GAUGAACGCUGGCGGCGUGCCUAAUACAUGCAAGUCGAGCGAACGGACGAGAAGCUUGCUUCUCUGAUGUUAGCGGCGGACGGGUGAGUAACACGUGGAUAACCUACCUAUAAGACUGGGAUAACUUCGGGAAACCGGAGCUAAUACCGGAUAAUAUUUUGAACCGCAUGGUUCAAAAGUGAAAGACGGUCUUGCUGUCACUUAUAGAUGGAUCCGCGCUGCAUUAGCUAGUUGGUAAGGUAACGGCUUACCAAGGCAACGAUGCAUAGCCGACCUGAGAGGGUGAUCGGCCACCCUGGAACUGGGACACGGUCCAGACUCCUACGGGAGGCAGCAGUAGGCAAUCUUCCGCAGUGGGCGAAAGCCUGACGGAGCAACGCCGCGUGAGUGAUGAAGGUCUUCGGAUCGUAAAACUCUGUUAUGAGGGAAGAACAUAUGUGUAAGUAACUGUGCACAUCUUGACGGUACCUAAUCAGAAAGCCACGGCUAACUACGUG
rnacentral:rRNA from 1 species